AGAGUGCUUUAUGCAAAAUAAAGGAAUACUCGCCACAACAUACCCACACAAGCAUACUACUUGUAUAUAUAGUACACGUACAUUCAAGUAUAUACGUGCACGAGUAUGUUUGUACAUGCGAGUAUAAAGGCCCAACAACUUACACGGAAUUGUUCAUUUUGUCUGCGAGCUUUCUCGCACGGCCAUAGACCAUAGGCGGCGGGUAGUGCCACAGUCGUGUGGCAUUUACAUACCAUCGGACGUGCACGCAACUCACGAGCCCGAGACCGAUGAGACGACGCACAACGCCCGCUUGAUGAUGGACGGAUUGACGGACGCAUGGAAGCACGAAGAGUUGGGUAGGGAAGGGGGCGAGAGACAGGGAGUGGGCGUUUGUUUGGCAUGCGAGAUGCGCCAGAUAGUACUCAGCCUGUACUCCCCCUCGUCCCUACGUGCCCCACUCACCCCCUCUCUCCCCCACUCAUCCACCCACCUCUCACUUUGUUUUGUGUGUCUUUGCUUCUAGGAGUUGGGGGCAGCAAGCCAGCAACUGCAGUUUUUCAUUAAAUGCGAACUAGGCAUGCAAUUUUGCAGAUUGGACUGCUUUCAACACAUCCGCGUGGCAUUUGAAACCAAUCGUAAUGCCCUCCUGUCUGACUCUUGGCCUUCGUAAAGUGCGAUAUUGGGUAUCAGGAAGGAAUUCAUAAAUCUACCGAUAAGCUUCGCAUGAAAAAACAUAUCAACACGCUGCUGGACAAAGGAAUUUUCAAAAUACUAAAUAUAUUUUAAGCCAACACCGAAACUUUCCUUACAGAAAUUGUAUUAAAAAUUUCUAAAUUAGGUAUAUCAUGUAAAAAAAACUAUUCGAAACAGUAAACUGAGCAUUAAAUAUAAUUAUGUAUUAACAAUAUAUUUGUGAAUUUUACUUUUUCAAGAAACCUAUGUAAAGAAACAACGAACUCUUUUAAAGCACUUUAUCAUUGCUUAUAUAGAAUAAAGAUAAG